GAAGGCAUGUUUGAGACUUCCAACUUCCGGAAAACGUUGAUUUCGAGCCAUAAGUUCUAUCUGAAGGCAUGUUUGAGACUUCCAACUUCCAGAAAACGUCGAUUUCGAGCCAUAAGCUCUAGGAAUUGUGCUGCAGCUGAAGGCAUGUUUGAGACUUCCAACUUCCUGAAGAGUUGAUACAGGCAGUUCCAUGCCCCCAUGAAAGAACGAAGCACGGACA